GCGGAGGAGCAUGUGGUUUAAUUCGAUGAUACGCGAGGAACCUUUACCUGGGCUUAAAUGCUUUAAUGACGUACUGGGAAACUGGUAUUUCUUCGGACAUUUUGCAAGGUGCUGCAUGGUUGUCGUCAGCUCGUGCCGUGAGGUGUCGGGUUAAGUCCCAUAACGAGCGCAACCCCUAUUGUUAGUUGCCAUCAGGUCAUGCUGGGACUCUAACAAAACUGCCCGCGUAAGCGUGGAGGAAGGUGGGGAUGACGUCAAAUCAGCACGGCCCUUACGUCCAGGGCUACACACGUGCUACAAUGGCCGGUACAGAGGGCAGCCACUUGGUGACAAGGAGCAAAUCUCAAAAGCCGGUCUCAGUUCGGAUCGGAGUCUGCAACUCGACUCCGUGAAGUUGGAUUCGCUAGUAAUCGUAGAUCAGCAAUGCUACGGUGAAUACGUUCCCGGGCCUU
rnacentral:rRNA from 1 species